CCUGCCGUUGCCGGCGACCGGCGCACGGGUGAGUAACACGUAUGCAACCUGCCCGUGGCAGGGGGAUAAGCGGGGGAAACCCCGUCUAAUACCGCGUAACGCGGCCUAGGGACAUCCCAAGGCCGCCAAAGGGAGCAAUCCCGGCCACGGAUGGGCAUGCGGCGCAUUAGCUAGUCGGCGGGGUAACGGCCCACCGAGGCGACGAUGCGUAGGGGUUCUGAGAGGAAGGUCCCCCACAUUGGAACUGAGACACGGUCCAAACUCCUACGGGAGGCAGCAG
rnacentral:rRNA from 1 species